rnacentral:lncRNA from 1 species
CUCCUCCAACUUACGGAGGCGGUAGCCCUCCUGAUAUUGUCACCCCAAGCCCUCCUGAUACCAUCACCCCAAGCCCACCAUCCAUCACUCCAGGCACCCCUACCAUUCCCACACCUCCAUUUGACCCAAAUUCUCCUGUCCCUGGUACCUGCACGUAAGUAUUUAUAUGUACUGUUGUGUAAUGACUAAAAAACCACAAUGGUUGCACACAGUUUUUAUCACAACUUGCACAUGUUAAUAGUUUCAUGCAUUUAUAUGUUUAUUCGCAGUUACUGGAGUUCUCACCCGGGAUUGAUAUGGGGUCUGCUGGGCUGGUGGGGUACAUUGGGCGGCAUAGGUGUGCCUAGUGUUCCUGGUUUUGGGUCAAGUACGAGCCUCCUGCAAGCUCUUUCCAACACUCACACUGAUGGAUUUGGAGCACUCUACAGAGAAGGAACUGCAUCCUGGCUCAACUCCGUGGCCAGCCAUAGAUUCCCUUUCACAACCAACCAAGUCCGGAACAGUUUUGUAGCAGCACUCCACUCAGACAAGGCAGCAGCAGCUCAAGCUCGGCUCUUCAAGCUUGCCAAUGAGGGCCACCUCAAGCCAAGAGU